rnacentral:rRNA from 1 species
GAGUUUGAACCUGGCUCAGGACGAACGCUGGCGGCGUGCCUAAUACAUGCAAGUCGAGCGAGCUUGCCUAGAUGAUUUUAGUGCUUGCACUAAAUGAAACUAGAUACAAGCGAGCGGCGGACGGGUGAGUAACACGUGGGUAACCUGCCCAAGAGACUGGGAUAACACCUGGAAACAGAUGCUAAUACCGGAUAACAACACCAGACGCAUGUCUAGAGUUUGAAAGAUGGUUCUGCUAUCACUCUUGGAUGGACCUGCGGUGCAUUAGCUAGUUGGUAAGGUAACGGCUUACCAAGGCAAUGAUGCAUAGCCGAGUUGAGAGACUGAUCGGCCACAUUGGGACUGAGACACGGCCCAAACUCCUACGGGAGGCAGCAGUAGGGAAUCUUCCACAAUGGACGAAAGUCUGAUGGAGCAACGCCGCGUGAGUGAAGAAGGGUUUCGGCUCGUAAAGCUCUGUUGGUAGUGAAGAAAGAUAGAGGUAGUAACUGGCCUUUAUUUGACGGUAAUUACUUAGAAAGUCACGGCUAACUACGUGCCAGCAGCCGCGGUAAUACGUAGGUGGCAAGCGUUGUCCGGAUUUAUUGGGCGUAAAGCGAGUGCAGGCGGUUCAAUAAGUCUGAUGUGAAAGCCUUCGGCUCAACCGGAGAAUUGCAUUAGAAACUGUUGAACUUGAGUGCAGAAGAGGAGAGUGGAACUCCAUGUGUAGCGGUGGAAUGCGUAGAUAUAUGGAAG